rnacentral:ncRNA from 1 species
AACUCUGGAGAGUCUCAUUGAUUUGAGCGCCGAAGGUGUAAUGACGGUAUCGUGGUCCGUCGGAUCUCUCAGGCAAAAGGACAGAGCUU